rnacentral:sRNA from 1 species
GCCCGGUGCGGUGGCGCACGCCUGUCAUCCCUGCAGCUGGGGAGGCUGAGGCAGGAGGAUCACAGGUGGAGGCCAGCCUCAGUAACAGCGAGGCCCUCAGACUCAGGGAGGCCCUGUCUCUA